CUUCAGCAGCACGUAUACUAAAAUUGGAAUGAUACAGAAAAGAUUAGCAUGGCCCCUGUGUAAGGAUGACAUGAAAAUUUGUAAAGCGUUCCAUAU
rnacentral:snRNA from 1 species